CAGCCGAUGGAGAAACAAGAUGAACAUCUGUUUUGCUGCAAUGAAACUCCUGUGUUCCUCAGAAUGCACAAACCGCCUCUGACAGACCACCCCAAAGGCGGCUUCCCUGGCACGCGGCGGCCCCGCGGAAUAUUCCGCCUGGUUAUUUCAAUCAGGGACAGCUGGCGGCUGAAGGAUCAUUUCUUAGCCCAAGAUUUGAAUGCCACAUGUCAAGGGUUCUUCGGUGGAGGUCUGCAGACUCAGGCUGAGAGGAGCAAUUCUUAAGGGUCCGUGGAAUUGGUUUCCCUCCCUGUAGAGGGAUCUGCUCAUGUCCUGCGCUGGAGAAGUGGAAGGUGAUUCUGCUUCUUGGAAAGCAGGAGAGGGAGGAAGUAGUGAGGGAAUGAAUGAGACUGUAGAGAGGAACACCUGCAGGCACCAGUCAGGGGUGUGGAGGGUUCCCGAAGACUCCUUUAAUUCUGAUGAGCUUGUUGUCCAAGGUGAGGAGGGACACAAGGUCAGAAGCCCAGCAGGGUGAGGUGGGGGGAGGGUGGGGUCAGGGGGCCCCAUGGGGGCUGGAAUUCUGCCAGGGAUGCAGUGGAGCACAAGACAGGAUCUGGACUAGUGCCAUGGCAUGAUCCGGGGUCAGGGUAAAAAUUACAGUCCCAGGGGCUGGGCACGGUGGCUCACGCCUGUAAUCCCAGCACUUUGGUGGGCCAGGCGGGCAGGUCCCCUGAGGUCAGUAGCUCCAGACCAGCCUGGCCAACAGGGCGAAACCCUGUCUCUACUAAAAAUACAAAAUGAGCUGGGCAUGGUGGCAUGGUGGUAUGUGCCUGUAGUCCCAGCUACUCGGGAGGCUGAGGCAGGAGAACCACUUGAACCCGAGAGGUGGAGGUUGCAGUGAGCUGAGAUCGCACCACUGCACUCCAGCCUGGGGUACAGAGUGAGACUCAACACCAAAAAAAAAAAACAAAACCAUGGCCCCUGCUGACCAAUCAUGUCAUACACGAAACUAAAGGAAAGGGCAGGCAAAACAACAACAACAACAACAACAACAACCACGGCGAUGGCUCAGAUCAGCCGGAAUGAACUCUGUGCCACGCACCAUUCUAACCCAUUCAAUCCUCUCAACACCACCAUGAAGUAGGAUCGUUAUUAAUGCCAUUCUGCAGAUUUGGAAACUGAGGCCCAAAGAAGUGAAGUUAAACAUCCCCAGGUCACACAGCUAGUAAACAGAAUUCAUCAUGAACAUUUCUUGGGUGCUUGGUGUCCCCAUCCUGUGCACCUUAUAUGUGGUCUCCUGAUUUAUCUUUGUAAUACUCCUCCACGGCGGGUGUUGGUAUUAUGCCCAUCUUACAGGUGAAGAAACCAAGGCUCAGAGAGGGGAAGUGAUUUAAACAGGUCAGUCAGGGGCAGGGCUGGGGCUGAAAUGCAUUCCAAAGUCCUUGACCCUUUUGGGCACUGUUUCC
rnacentral:lncRNA from 1 species